ACUGAGGUGGCAGAGCCCGGCAAUUGCAAAAGACCUAAGCCCUUUAUACCGGAGGUUCAAAUCCUCCCCUCAGUU
rnacentral:tRNA from 1 species